rnacentral:lncRNA from 1 species
UCACUUUGCGAACGGGGAGGAAGUCCUAUCUCUCUCUCUCUCUCUCUCUCUCUCUCUCUCUCUCUCUCUCGCCUCGCGCUCUCCUCUCUCUUCUCUCCCCUCUGCUCUCCCUUGUCUUCCCUCCCCCACACCCCCUCUUCCUCUCUUCGCCUAGUCCUGCUUUUCGCAUCACACACUAUAUAAAUAUACGCGGAGAUGCCCAGAUACAUUCAUGCACUACGCACACAGGAUACUUGCUCCUGGGAGAUAAGAGCUAGCUGGGAACAAUGACGGGGUCCACGCCCAGCGUCCGCGCCCUGAUUCCCCGCAGUCUGCAACCAGCCCCCAUCACCUUCCCCCCAAAUCCAAAACCAUACGCCUUUGGCUUCUUUCCUUUUCCUGGGGCCGUUGGCCGAAGGUGGCCCUCCUGACUCAUUCACUUUCCGUUUCUUCCCACAGAUAGGUUCAUUAAUGCUUUUUCCAGCCGGAGUCAAACUUUUUGGGAAUGGGAGGACCGCGGGAGAGUUUACUAGGGCAGGCAGAACCUGGCGCUUACUCCUGAGAAGAUUCGGACGCAGACCGAGGCAAACCAACCAUUGGAAAGUGCAUCCAAUGAGAAUUUUCCCAUUCGGGCCCUCUGAUGCUGACAUGAGGCGGACUCCCGCAGAAGCUCACCCACUUAUCCACGCGGAUUCGGGGCGAUUUCAGGCUGACCUGAGCCGUCAGGGGCGCAACUCGAUUCCGGGUGCAUUGUUAGGAAAGGGGCACCCUUCUGGCGGCGCGCCUCGACUCUCGGCUCCCGGCGUCCGCGAAGGACUGGGACCCGCGGCACCCUAAGUCAAUCUACCCCGUCUUCUUGGGUUAAUCCCUUCGCGUUUAACGGGACCCGACGGCCCAAGCCUCGGCAACCAAGCCAGAGUCCUUCUUGCAAUUCUACCAUGGCCCCCAAGAAACUGACACUACGGCGGAUGUUCCCUCCACGCUGGUCAGCAGGUCCCCGGAGCGCAGCACGCAACAGCGCCACAUAGACCCAGACUUCUCCCGGAAUGAGACAAGGGGGCCAGCGCUCCAGGCUGUCAUCCCCAUCCAGCCGGGAGACCAGCCUCUCCUCGACCCACUUGUCCGGCCAGGCUCACCCAGAGACCUCCCAGUUCCCCUGCUGGGCCGCCGCGCUCUCUAGUUAGGGCAGCCUUCAGUGGUCCGGGCGUUCUCGGCCUGAUUCCCUCUCCCCAAUCUCCAAAACAGGUUACCUUGUCCACGCUCUGCAGACCACGCUUGUGACUGUCUCACUUUUAUUUAAGAGUCCGCCCGGGGAAAGAGGAAAAAAAAAAUCCAGAGAAGAUCCGAGUGAAACGAAAAGAAAAAUAUUCAAAAGUGUGUCCACAGCGGAGAAAAAGGUGACAUUAAUUCUUUAUUUCUUCAGGAGCAAUUGAGCCUGAGAGCUCGCUCGCCCGCCUCCCUCCCUCCCUCCUUCCUCCCCCUCUCGAAAUUAGUCUCAUCAAUUCAGCUCCAAUUUUGGGUUCGAAUACAGACACGGGUCUGAACGAGACCAGACCUGGAGUGGCGGGUGCAGCCUGCCAGCAAUUGAGACUCCGUGUGCGUGGUGGUGGGGGGGGGGGGGGGGGGG